CCUUGAUUUUCCUUAUCUUCUUCAUUGCCGUCCUCUCUAGGCUGUCUUUGGCGAGGAGGGCCCCUGCGGAAUCGUGGUCUAUAACCUCGAUCCAUAUUCUGUCUCACUUGUCUACCUUGUUCUCCUGCACCUGGCUGUCAGCACCUCCAUCACUUCUCCUUGCACAGGAGAAGUGAAGGAGGGUGC